rnacentral:rRNA from 1 species
UACGGAGGGUGCAAACGUUGUCCGGAUUUAUCGGGUUUAAAGGGUGCGUAGGCGGCCCUAUAAGUCAGUGGUGAAAGCCCAUCGCUCAACGAUGGAACUGCCAUUGAUACUGUAGGGCUUGAGUACAGACGAGGUAGGCGGAAUUGAUGGUGUAGUGGUGAAAUGCAUAGAUACCAUCAAGAACACCGAUUGCGUAGGCAGCUUACUAGGCUGUAACUGACGCUGAGGUACGAAAGCGUGGGGAGCGAACAGG